UGUAAGCGUAUACCAAAGUUGUUGCAGUUAAAACGCUCGUAGUCGGAAUUUGGCAGUUCCGGAUGUGUGCACGUCGUGUGCGCACUUCGCGUGGAUUGCUUUUGUGGUCUUGCGUAGGAUGAGGCACUUUUAUUAGUGAACGUCCUCACGCAACCACUUUUUACUGUGAGAAAAUCAGAGUGCUCAAAGCAGGCAUUUGCCGUGAAUGUAUUAGCAUGGAAUAAUAGAAUAGGACUUGGUUCUAUUUUGUUGGUUUGUUGGGACUGAGUAAUGAUUAAGAGGGACAGUUGGGGGCAUUUGUAUUUCGGUGCUAGAGGUGAAAUUCUUAGAUUACCGAAAGACAAACUGCUGCGAAAGCGUCUGCCAAGGAUGUUUUCAUUGA
rnacentral:rRNA from 1 species